CAGCCUUAUAUUUAUAUUUUUAUGUAGGUGAAGCUAUUUUAUACAUAUUACUUUAACAAAUCAAAAUCCAAAACUUAGAAGUAAGCUGAAGCUAGUUUAUACAUAAUUAUGCAGGGUAAAUAUAAGUUUCCCUCAGAUUAUGAUCGGAAUAUGGCAAGAACUGUGUGGGAAAAAACAUGCAUGGAUAGGUAUCCUGAUCAUUUAAAAAAUGCAAGAAACGUGGCCUUACGAGAAGUGAACUCAACGAAUUUGGUCGACACUAAGGGCCAUGGACCCAAAGGAAUGAAGGCAGAAGUAUGGGAUGGUUUGGUCGACAUUUGGUUGAAACCCGAGUGGAAAAAGAAGUCGGAUGCUAAUCGUUGUAAUAGAGCUUCCUUACCUGAUGCAGUCUUGCACACAGGAGGCUCCAUAAACUUUGGUGAACAUAAGAAGAGGAUGGAAGAGGAAUUGAAACAUGAAGUUUCAUAUAGGGAUGUAUAUGACCGGGUUCAUAAGAAGACAGAUGGACAAUAUAUCUCCCAACGCUCAAGAACGUAUAUUAGGCAAACAUAAUAGUUACAUCAGAAGAAUUUAUCAAAAAAGCUGUUGAUAGAGCAAUGACUUCCUUUGUCCAGUCGCAGUUGGCUCCAAUGUUGGAGCCAAUCCUAUCGAUGAUUCGGUCUAUGCAUAAAGCACCAAUGCAACUUGAUGUGGCUGAAAAAGUUCACAGGAAUUAAGAUAGUGAAGAGGGAGAUGGAGACACAGGUAGCUAUGGCUGAUUUGAAGAUGGUGGAGCAAUGAAAGGGAGUUUGGAGAAAGUUGUGCAAACUUGUUUGGAGACACGGAGUUUUUUACUUGUUUGAAUGAUUAAAUACAAAAAAACAAAUUAAUUAGUAGUGGUACUGAGUAUUGUUCACAAUUGAAUGAUCAUUGGAUUCAAUUGAAUUGAUUUUUUGUUGGA